UUUCCUUCUUUUUUUUAUUUUGUUUAUACUAUCCUUUCUCCUUUUUAGUUUUCUUUAGUUUUUGUCUGCCUGUUAUAAGUUUUUUUUUAGUUUUUUGAAGUUUUUUUUAGAAAUACUAAUCUUCUUUUUAUUAGUUUUCUUUAGUUUUUUUCUGCCUGUUUUAAUUGUUUUGUUUUUUGUUUCCUUUAGUUUUUUUUUCUUCAGUUUUUUUUCCUAUUUUUUUGCCUGGCACCUCUUUCUUGAUGAGCUACUCUUAGUCUGGUCCCUCCCCCAGGACCUGCUGCCUUGGGUAACCUUUCAGAGGCAUAAAGCCCUGACAACAUAGCUCCUGGGAUCAUUGGGACACACAAACCCCUCCACCACGGUAAGGUGGUAGCUCAAGGAGGGGAAAAAACCCUCACAUGGGAGGGAAAAACCGCAAGGGUUUUUUUUUCUGUGCAAAACACCCGGUUUAGGGUGGGUUUUUGUUCUUUUUUUUCGGAAAUACUUUUCAUUUCUUUAGUUUCCUAUAGUUCUUUUUUAUUUUUCUGCCUGUUUUAAGUUUUUUUUCAGAAAUACUGUGAUGUUUCUUUUUUUUUUUUAGUUUUUUUUUUUACGAAUACUAUUCUUUUUCUCAGUUUUCUUUAGUUUUUUUUGUCAUUUAUAAAUAUUAAGGGUUUUCCUUUCUGAAAUACUUUUCCUUCUGUUUUUUUAUUUUGUUUAUACUAUCCUUUCUCUUUUUUAGUUUUCUUUAGUAUUUUCUACCUGUUUUAAGUUUUUUUUUUUUUUUUUUUUUUUUCUAUAUAUUUAGGGUGUUUUUUUCUGAAAUACUUUUCCUUCUGUUUUGUUUUAUUUUGUUUAUACAAUCCUUUCUCUUUUUUAGUUUUCUUUAGUUUUUUUCUGCCUGUUUUAAGUUUUUUUUUUAGUUUUUUUUUGUUUUUUUUCUAUAUAUUUAGGGUGUUUUUUCUGAUAUACUUUUCUUUCUGUUUUUUUUAAUAUUGUUUAUACUAUCAUUUCUCUUUAUUUAGUUUUCUUUAGUUUUUUGUCUGCCUGUUUUAAGAUGUUUUUAUUAGUUUUUUUAGUUCUUUUUGUUAUAUAUAUUUAGGGUGUUUUUUUUCAGAAAUAGUUUUCCUUCUGUUUUUUUUUAUUUUGUUUACACUGUCCUUUCUCUUUUUUUUUAAUUUUCUUUAGUUUUUUGUCUGCCUGUUUUUAGUUUUUUUUUUUAGUUUUUUUUUUAGUUCUUUUUGUAAUAUAUUUAGGGUGUUUUAUCAGAAAUACUUUUCCUUCUGUUUUUUUAUUUUGUUUAUAAUAUCCUUUCUCCUUUUUUAGUUUACUUUAGUUUUUUCUGCCUGUUUUAAGUUUUUUUUUUAGAUUUUUUUUAGUUUUUUAAAGUUUGUUUUAGAAAUACUAUUCUUUUUCUUCUUUUUUUAGGUUUCUUUAGUUUUUUUCUGCCUGUUUUAAGGUUGUUUUUUAGUUUUUUUUUCUUGUUGUUAUUUAUAUAUAUAUAGGUUGUUCUUUUCUGAAAUACUUUUCCUUCUGUUUUUUUUAUUUUGUUUAUACUAUCCUUUCUCUUUUUUAGUUUUCUUUAGUUUUUUUCUGCCUGUUUUAAGUUUUUUUUGUUUUUUCUAUAUAUUUAGGGUGUUUUUUUUCUCAAAUACUUUUCCUUCUGUUUUUUUUAUUUUGUUUACACUAUCCUUUCUCUUUUUUUAAUUUUCUUUAGUUUUUUGUCUGCCUGUUUUUAGUUUUUUUUUUUUUAGUUUUUUUUAGUUCUUUUUGUAAUAUAUUUAGGGUGUUUUAUCAGAAAUACUUUUCCUUCUGUUUUUUUUAUUUUGUUUAUACUAUCCUUUCUCUUUUUUAGUUUUCUUUAGUUUUUUUCUGCCUGUUUUAAGUUUUUUUUAGUUUUUUUAGUUUUUUAGUUUUUUCUAUAUAUUUAGGGUGUUUUUUUCUGAAAUACUUUUCCUUCUGUUUUUUUUAUUUUGUUUAUACUAUCCUUUCUCUUUCUUUAAUUUUCUUUAGUUUUUUGUCUGCCUGUUUUAAGUGUUUUUUUUUAGUUUUUUAAAGUUUUUUUUUAGAAAUACUAUUCUUUUUCUUCUUUUUUUAGUUUUCUUUAGUUUUAUUCUGCCUGUUUUUAAGGGUUUUUUUAGGUUUUUUUCAGUUUUUUGUUAUUUAUAUAUAUAAACAACCUGUUUUAAGGUUGUUUUUUAGUUUUUUUCUUGUUGUUAUUUAUAUAUAUUAAGGGUGUUCUUUUCUGAAAUACUUUUCCUUCUUUUUUUUCAUUUUGUUUAUAAUAUCCUUUCUCUUUUUUAGUUUUCUUUAGUUUUUUUCUCCCUGUUUUAAGUUUUUUUUUUUUUUUUUUUUUUUCUAUAUAUUUAGGGUGUUUUUUUUCUCAAAUACUAUUCUUUUUCUCCUUUUUUUUAGUUUUCUUUAGUUUUAUUCUGCCUGUUUUUAAGGUUUUUUUUUAGUUUUUUUUCAGUUUUUUGUUAUUUAUAUACACUCACUGGCCACUUUAUUAGGUACACCUGUCCAACUGCUCGUUAACACUUAAUUUCUAAUCAGCCAAUCACAUGGCGGCAACUUAGUGCAUUUAGGCAUGUAGACAUGGUCAAGACAAUCUCCUGCAGUUCAAACCGAGCAUCAGUAUGGGGAAGAAAGGUGAUUUGAGUGACUUUGAACGUGGCAUGGUUGUUAGUGCCAGAAGGGCUGGUCUGAGUAUUUCAGAAACUGCUGAUCUACUGGGAUUUUCACGCACAACCAUCUCUAGGGUUUACAGAGAAUGGUCCGAAAAAGAAAAAAUAUCCAGUGAGCGGCAGUUCUGUGGGCGGAAAUGCCUUGUUGAUGCCAGAGGUCAGAGGAGAAUGGCCAGACUGGUUUGAGCUGAUAGAAAGGCAACAGUGACUCAAAUAACCACCCGUUACAACCAAGGUAGGCAGAAGAGCAUCUCUGAACGCACAGUACAUCGAACUUUGAGGCAGAUGGGCUACAGCAGCAGAAGACCACGCCAGGUGCCACUCCUUUCAGCUAAGAACAGGAAACUGAGGCUACAAUUUGCACAAGCUCAUCGAAAUUGGACAAUGAAGAUUGGAAAAACGUUGCCUGGUCUGAUGAGUCUCGAUUUCUGCUACGACAUUCGGAUGGUAGGGUCAGAAUUUGGCGUCAACAACAUGAAAGCAUGGAUCCAUCCUGCCUUGUAUCAACAGUUCUGGCUGGUGGUGGUGGUGUCAUGGUGUGGGGAAUAUUUUCUUGGCACUCUUUGGGCCCCUUGGUACCAAUUGAGCAUCGUUGCAACGCCACAGCCUACCUGAGUAUUGUUGCUGACCAUGUCCAUCCCUUUAUGACCACAAUGUACCCAACUUCUGAUGGCUACUUUCAGCAGGAUAAUGCGCCAUGUCAUAAAGCUGGAAUCAUCUCAGACUGGUUUCUUGAACAUGACAAUGAGUUCACUGUACUCAAAUGGCCUCCACAGUCACCAGAUCUCAAUCCAAUAGAGCAUCUUUGGGAUGUGGUGGAGCGGGAGAUUCGCAUCAUGGAUGUGCAGCCGACAAAUCUGCGGCAACUGUGUGAUGCCAUCAUGUCAAUAUGGACCAAGCUCUCUGAGGAAUGCUUCCAGCACCUUGUUGAAUCUAUGCCACGAAGAAUUGAGGCAGUUCUGAAGGCAAAAGGGGGUCCAACCCGUUACUAGCAUGGUGUACCUAAUAAAGUGGCCGGUGAGUGUAUAUAUAUAGGUUGUUCUUUUCUGAAAUACUUUUCCUUGUGUUUUUUUAUUUUGUUUAUACUAUCCUUUCUAUCCUUCUAUCCUUUAUCCUAUCCUUUCUUUUAGUUUUUUUAGUUCUUUUUGUUAUAUAUAUUUAGGGUGUUUUUUUUCAGAAAUACUUUUCCUUCUGUUUUUUUAAUUUUGUUUACACUAUCCUUUCUCCUUUUUUUGGUUAACUUUAGUUUUUUUCUGCCUGUUUUAAGGUUGUUUUUUAGUUUUUUUUAGUUUUUUAAAGUUUUUUUUUUAGAAAUACUAUCCUUUUCUUCUUUUUUAAUUUUCUUUAGUUUUAUUCUUCCUGUUUUUAAGUUUUUUUUAGUUUUUUUUUAGUUUUUUGUUAUUUAUAUAUAUAGGUUGUUCUUUUCUGAAAUACUUUUCCUUCUGUUUUUUUUAUUUUGUUUAUACUAUCCUUUCUCUUUUUUUUAGUUUUCUUUAGUUUUUUUUCUGCCUGUUUUAAUUUUUUAUUAGAAAAACUAUUCUUUUUCUUCUUUUUUAGUUUUCUUUAGUUUUUUUCUGCAUGUUUAAAGUUGUUUUUUAGUUUUUUUUUGUUAUUUAUAAAUAUUAAGGGUUUUCCUUUCUAAAAUACUUUUCCUUCUGUUUUUUUAUUUUGUUUAUACCAUCCUUUCUCUUUUUUAGUUUUCUUUAGUUUUUUUCUGCCUGUUUUAAGUUUUUUUUUAGUUUUUUUAGUUUUUUAGUUUUUUCUAUAUAUUUAGGGUGUUUUUUCUGAAAUACUUUUCCUUCUGUUUUUUUUAUUUUGUUUAUACUAUCCUUUCUCUUUCUUUAAUUUUCUUUAGUUUUUUGUCUGCCUGUUUUAAGUGGUUUUUUUUAGGUUUUUUUAGUUACUUUUGUAAUAUAUUUAGGGUGUUUUAUCAGAAAUACUUCUGUUUUUUUUAUUUUGUUUAUAAUAUCCUUUCUCCUUUUUUAGUUUACUUUAGUUUUUUCUGCCUGUUUUAAUUUUAUUUUUUAGUUUUUUUUUGUUCUUUUUGUAAUAUAUUUAGGGUGUUUUUUCAGAAAUACUGUUCCUUCUGUUUUUUUUAGUUUUUGUCUGCCUGUUCUAAGUUUUUUUUUAGUUUUUUUUAGUUUUUUUUAGAAAUAAUAAUCUUCUUUUUAUUAGUUUUCUUUAGUUUUUUUCUGCCUGUUUUAAUUUUUCUGUUUUUUGUUUUCUUUAGUUUUUUUUCUUCAGUUUUUUUUUCCUAUUUUUUUGCCUGGCACCUCUGUCUGGAUGAGCUACUCUUAGUCUGGUCCCUCCCCCAGGACCUGUUUGCCUUGGGUAACCUUUCAGAGGCAUAAAGCCCUGACAACAUAGCUCCUGGGAUCAUUGGGACACACAAACCCCUCCACCACGGUAAGGUGGUAGCUCAAGGAGGGGAAAAAACCCUCACAUGGGAGGGAAAAACCGCAAGGGUUUUUUUUUCUGUCCAAAACAACCGGUUUAGGGUGGGUUUUUGUUCUUUUUUUUCAGAAAUACUUUUAUUUUCUUUAGUUUCCUAUAGUUCUUUUUUAUUUUUCUGCCUGUUUUAAGUUUUUUUUUUCAGAAAUACUGUGAUUUUACUUUUUUUUUUUACUUUUUUUUUUUUUACAAAUACUAUUCUUUUUCUUUGUUUUCUUUAGUUUUUUUCUGCAUGUUUAAAGUUUUUUUUUGUUUUUUUUGUUAUUUAUAAAUAUAAAGGGUUUUCCUUUCUAAAAUACUUUUCCUUCUGUUUUUUUUAUUUUGUUUAUACUAUCCUUUCUCUUUUUUAGUUUUCUUUAGUUUUUUUCUACCUGUUUUAAGUUUUUUUUGUUUGUCUUUUUUGUUUUUUCUAUAUAUUUAGGGUCUUUUUUUCUGAAAUACUUUUCCCUCUGUUUUUUUAUUUUGUUUAUACUAUCCUUUCUAUUUUUUAGUUUUCUUUAGUUUUUUUCUGCCUGUUUUAAGUUUUUUUUUUUUUUUUUUUAUAUAUAUUUGGGGUAUUUUUUCUGAUAUACUUUUCUUUCUGUUUUUUCAAUUUUGUUUAUACUAUCCUUUCUCUUUUUUUAGUUUUCUCUAGUUUUUUUCUGCCUGUUUUAAGUUUUUUUAUUAGUUUUUUUAGUUUUUUUCUGUUAUAUAUAAUUAGGGUGGUUUUUUUUCAGAAAUUCUUUUCCUUCUGUUUUUUUAUUUUGUUUACACUAUCCUUUCUCCUCUUUUUAGUUUACUUUAGUUUUUUCUGCCUGUUUUAAGUUUUUUUUUAGUUUUUAAAAGUUUUUUUUAGAAAUACUAUUCUUUUUCUUCUUUUUUUAGUUUUCUUUAGUUUUAUUCUGCCUGUUUUUAAGGGUUUUUUUAGUUUUUUUUCAGUUUUUUUGUUAUUUAUAUAUAUAUAUAGGUUGUUCUUUUCUGAAAUACUUUUCCUUCUGUUUUUUUUUUAUUUUGUUUAUACCAUCCUUUCUAUCCUUUAUUUCUUUAGUUUUUUUCUGCCUGUUUUAAGUUUUUUUUUUUUUUUUUUUUUUUUUUUUCUAUAUAUUUGGGGUGUUUUUUCUGAUAUACUUUUCUUUCUGUUUUUUCAAUUUUGUUUAUACUAUCCUUUCUCUUUUUUUAGUUUUCUCUAGUUUUUUUUCUGCCUGUUUUAAGUUUUUUUAUUAGUUUUUUUAGUUUUUUUCUGUUAUAUAUAAUUAGGGUGUUUUUUUUUUCAGAAAUUCUUUUCCUUCUGUUUUUUAUUUUGUUUACACUAUCCUUUCUCCUCUUUUUAGUUUACUUUAGUUUUUUCUGCCUGUUUUAAGUUUUUUUUUAGUUUUUAAAAGUUUUUUUUAGAAAUACUAUUCUUUUUCUUCUUUUUUUAGUUUUCUUUAGUUUUAUUCUGCCUGUUUUUAAGGGUUUUUUUUAGUUUUUUUUUCAGUUUUUUUGUUAUUUAUAUAUAUAUAUAGGUUGUUCUUUUCUGAAAUACUUUUCCUUCUGUUUUUUUUUUUUAUUUUGUUUAUACCAUCCUUUCUAUCCUUUAUCCUAUCCUUUCUUUUAGUUUUUUUAGUUCUUUUUGUUAUAUAUAUUUAGGGUGUUUUUUUUCAGAAAUAUUUUUCCUUCUGUUUUUUUAAUUUUGUUUACACUAUCCUUUCUCCUUUUUUUAGUUUACUUUAGUUUUUUCUGCCUGUUUUAAGUUUUUUUUUAUUUUUUUAACGUUUUUUUAGAAAUACUAUUCUUUUUCUUCUUUUUUAGUUUACUUUAGUUUUAUUCUGCCUGUUUGUAAGUGUUUUUUUAAGUUUUUUUUGUUUUUUUGUUAUUUAUAUAUAUAUAUGUUGUUCUUUUCUGAAAUACUUUUCCUUCUGUUUUUUAUUUUGUUUAUACUAGCCUUUCUCUUUUUUUUAGUUUUCUUUAGUUUUUUUUCUGCCUGUUUUAAUUUUUUUUUUUUUUUUUUUGUUUUUUCUAUAUAUUUAGGGUGCUUUUUUCUGAUAUACUUUUCUUUCUGUUUUUUUUUAUUUUGUUUUAACUAUCCUUUCUCUUUUGUAGUUUUCUUCAUUUUUUUCUUCAUGUUUUAAUUUUUUUUUUAGUUUUUUCUAUAUAUUUAGGGUGUUUUUUUCUGAAAUACUUUUCCUUCUGUUUUUUUUAUUUUGUUUAUACUAUCCUUUCUCUUUUUUUAAUUUUCUUUAGUUUUUUGUCUGCCUGUUUUAAGUUUUUCUUUUAGUUUUUUUAGUUAUUUUUGUAAUAUAUUAAGGGUGUUUUAUCAGAAAUACUUUUCCUUCUUUUUUUUAUUUUGUUUAUAAUAUCCUUUCUCCUUUUUUAGUUUACUUUAGAUUUUUCUGCCUGUUUUAAGUUUUUUUAAAGUUUUUUUUAGUUCUUUUUGUAAUAUAUUUAGGGUGUUUUUUCAGAAAUACUGUUCCUUCUGUUUUUUUUAGUUUUUGUCUGCCUGUUCUAAGUUUUUUUUUAGUUUUUUGAAGUUUUUUUUAGAAAUAAUAAUCUUCUUUUUAUUAUUUUUCUUUAGUUUUUUUCUGCCUGUUUUAAUUUUUCUGUUUUUUGUUUUCUUUAGUUUUUUUUCUUCAGUUUUUUUUUCCUAUUUUUUUGCCUGGCACCUCUGUCUGGAUGAGCUACUCUUAGUCUGGUCCCUCCCCCAGGACCUGUUUGCCUUGGGUAACCUUUCAGAGGCAUAAAGCCCUGACAACAUAGCUCCUGGGAUCAUUGGGACACACAAACCCCUCCACCACGGUAAGGUGGUAGC
rnacentral:lncRNA from 1 species